CUUAACACAUGCAAGUCGAGGGGCAGCGGGUCUAGCAAUAGAUGCCGGCGACCGGCGAAAGGGUGAGUAACGCGUGAGCAACGUGCCCGUAUGUGGGGGAUAGUCGAUGGAAACGUCGCGUAAUACCCCGUAACACAGGUUCCCGCAUGGGGAUAUGUUGAAAGAUUAAUUGCAUACGGAUCGGCUCGCGUGCCAUUAGGUAGACGGCGGGGUAACGGCCCACCGUGCCGACGAUGGCUAGGGGUUCUGAGAGGAAGGUCCCCCACAUUGGAACUGAGACACGGUCCAGACUCCUACGGGAGGCAGCAGUGAGGAAUAUUGGACAAUGGCCGGAAGGCUGAUCCAGCCAUGCCGCGUGCGGGAGGACGGCCCUAUGGGUUGUAAACCGCUUUUGCGGGGGAGCAAUAAGUGUUACGUGUAACACGAUGAGAGUACCCUGCGAAUAAGCAUCGGCUAACUCCGUGCCAGCAGCCGCGGUAAUACGGAGGAUGCAAGCGUUAUCCGGAUUUAUUGGGUUUAAAGGGUGCGUAGGCGGCUUGGUAAGCGGGAGGUGAAAUGCCGGCGCUCAACGUCGGAAGUGCCUCCCGAACUGUCGGGCUUGAAUAGUACUGCCGUGGGAGGAAUGAGUGGUGUAGCGGUGAAAUGCUUAGAGAUCACUCAGAACACCGAUUGCGAAGGCAUCUCACGAAGUACCGAUUGACGCUGAGGCACGAAAGCGUGGGGAUCAAACAGGAUUAGAUACCCUGGUAGUCCACGCAGUAAACGAUGAUGGCUAACCGCUGGGACGAACGUUUCAGUGGCCAAGCGAAAGCGAUAAGCCAUCCACCUGGGGAGUACGACCGCAAGGUUGAAACUCAAAGGAAUUGACGGGGGCCCGCACAAGCGGAGGAACAUGUGGUUUAAUUCGAUGAUACGCGAGGAACCUUACCCGGGCUCGAACGGCUGGCGAAGAGAUCCAGAGAUGGUGACGUCCUUCGGGACGCCAGUCGAGUGCUGCAUGGUUGUCGUCAGCUCGUGCCGUGAGGUGUCGCUCAGUGCCAUAACGAGCGCACCCUUGCGUCAGUUGCAUCAGGUGAGCUGGGACUCUGGCGGACUGCCACCGCAGGUGUGAGAAGGGGGAUGACUUCAUCAGCACGUCCUACGUCGGGCGACACACGGUCCAUGGCGGCCAGAGGAUACUGCGUACGAUGAAUCGAAGCGCUCACUCGGAUCGAUGACGAUCAGACUGAUCCUAGAUCGCACUACCAUGCGCGUGAU
rnacentral:rRNA from 1 species